rnacentral:rRNA from 1 species
GACAGAGGAUGCAAGCGUUAUCCGGAAUGAUUGGGCGUAAAGGCGUCUGUAGGUGGCUUUUAAGUCCGCCGUCAAAUCCCAGGGCUCAACCCUGACAGGCGGUGGAAACUACCAAGCUGGAGUACGGUAGGGGCAGAGGGAAUUUCCGGGUGGAGCGGGUGAAAUGCGUAGAGAUCGGAAAGAACACCAACGGCGAAAGCAACUCUGCUGGGCCGACACUGACACUGAGAGACGAAAGCUAGGGGAGCGAAAUGGGAUUAGAUACCGAC